rnacentral:rRNA from 1 species
UGGGCAACCUGCCCUCAGCUCUGGGAUAACUCCAAGAAAUUGGGGCUAAUACCGGAUAUGACCGCUGACCGCAUGGUCUGGUGGUGGAAAGAUUUAUCGGCUGGAGAUGGGCCCCGCGGCCUAUCAGCUUGUUGGUGGGGUAGUGGCCUACCAAGGCGACGACGGGUAGCCGGCCUGAGAGGGUGACCGGCCACACUGGGACUGAGACACGGCCCAGACUCCUACGGGA